rnacentral:rRNA from 1 species
GACGAACCCGUGCAAACGUUGUUCGGAAUCACUGGGCUUAAAGGGCGCGUAGGCGGGCUAUCAAGUCAGUGGUGAAAUCUUUCAGCUCAACUGGAAAAGUGCCGCUGAUACUGGUAGUCUCGAGGGAGGUAGGGUCGAUGGAACUAAUGGUGGAGCGGUGAAAUGCGUAGAUAUCAUUAGGAACGCCGGUGGCGAAAGCGAUCGACUGGACCUCUUCUGACGCUGAGGCGCGAAAGCUAGGGGAGC